rnacentral:rRNA from 1 species
UUUAUGGAGAGUUUGAUCCUGGCUCAGGACGAACGCUGGCGGCGUGCUUAACACAUGCAAGUUUUGUGG